UGGAAAAAUCAAGUUAUGAUUUCAGUAGGAUCUAUAACUUUUGGUAUUACUAUAAGGAUUAAGCUAAUAAUUCCUGGUGAGACUGGUAAUAGGAUAGGAAAAAAACUAACUAAAGAAAAUACUUAAAACAUGCUUGACCAAAAAAUUGAUUUAUCACUUUCAGAUGUAAGAACUAAUUUGUAACUCCGUUGGUUUCAUUGUUUUUAAUAUUCAGAUUCGGCCGUGCGUAAAGGAAUGGUGUAAGUUUCACUUUUAUUUUUCUUAAUACAAGCAGGCUUUAGGUACUAAGUAAAAACUGAAAGUUAAGACAAUUUUGUAACAGGCGGGUCAUAAAAAUGUUUUGUUUCUAUUUACAUUAACCAUAAUUAUUUCUUAAGUUACCGCAACGUUUAAUAGCCGCAGUUACAAAGAAAUGUUCCAAUUCAUAACAUCAAAAAAUGUUACAUUAAGAGCUUUAAGCUUAAUGGAAAUCUACUUUCCCUGAGUCAUACAAUAUAGGAUCUAUUACCAAUUUUAAACAUUAUCUUUGGCGGUGUUUAACGCAACAGCAGUGAUAUAUGCCGCUUCCUGAGAAACUAAUGCGUCUUACUAUUAAUUUACCAUUACAACAUGCGUUUACUCGCAAUCUAAUUUAAAGUGUAGAAAGUUGGGGUUUGUAAUAUUUCCUUCAAUUAAUAUUGUAAAUCCCAACAAUCCGAAUGUAUACUUUAAAGGUUUCUGAAAAGCAAUUCAAUCGAUAAUUAGCUUCUAUUAGUAAUGAAUUAAAUGUAAUGAUACAUUUUGUCAGUGAGAGUUUCACAUAUGAAUUACUUUUAUUAUAAAAUAGGUAGGUACUAUUGAUUUACAUCCAAAAGUACUACUUAUUUGUUUAUGUAAUAUGCAAUCAUAUAUUGAUCUUAUUACUAUUGAUUUCCUUAUUGCUUUAGCUUACAAAAUGUACCUUUUAAGUACCAUCAUGAUCAUAUAAACUUUAAUACUACUAUAAGCCGCACAUGCGCAUUUCAAUGGUCUUGUGAUUUUGGCUUAACUAUUUAUUAAAAACUGAACUUUGACACUGAAUGUCAAAGUUGACAAAAAUGUUUUUUUUUUUUUGUUAAACUUAUACUAAGCUUUUUUAUAUUUUUACAUUUUACAUAAUGUUUUUUACUGUUAUUAUACUAGGGCUGGUAGCCUAUGCAAUUAACCGAUGGAAUAAGGGCCGAACAACAGAGGAACCAGAACCCCAACCCUACGACGACUUUUGGGAGGACUAUUCAGACAACGGUAUUUAACUUUGAAUCCUUUUGACAAAUUCUUUGUGUUAAUCAUAAAUAAAAAUAUUAUUUAUAA